GGAGAGAUGACUGAGUGGUUAAAAGUGCUAAAUUGCUAAUUUAAGAUUUAACUAGAUAUUAAUAUCUAUUAAAACAAGGGUUCAAAUCCCUUUCUCUCCU
rnacentral:tRNA from 1 species